rnacentral:rRNA from 1 species
GGCGGACGGGUGAGUAACGCGUAAAGAACUUGCCCUUUAGACUGGGAUAACAGAGGGAAACUUCUGAUAAUACUGGAUAAGUUAGUAUAUCGCAUGAUAUGCAAAUGAAAGCUACGGCACUAAAGGAGAGCUUUGCGUCCUAUUAGCUAGUUGGUAAGGUAAGAGCUUACCAAGGCGAUGAUAGGUAGCCGGCCUGAGAGGGUGGACGGCCACAAGGGGACUGAGAUACGGCACUUACUCCUACGGGAGGCAGCAGUG